CAGUCGCCGCGGGAAUACGUAGGUGGCAAGCGUUGUCCGGAAUCAUUGGGCGUAAAGGGCUCGCAGGCGGUUUCUUAAGUCUGAUGUGAAAGCCCCCGGCUCAACCGGGGAGGGUCAUUGGAAACUGGGAAACUUGAGUGCAGAAGAGGAGAGUGGAAUUCCACGUGUAGCGGUGAAAUGCGUAGAGAUGUGGAGGAACACCAGUGGCGAAGGCGACUCUCUGGUCUGUAACUGACGUUGAGGAGCGAAAGCGUGGGGAGCGAACAGGAUUAGAUACCCCAGUAGUCCCUGUCUCUUAUAA
rnacentral:rRNA from 1 species